rnacentral:rRNA from 1 species
CAGCAGCCGCGGGAAUACAGAGGGUGCGAGCGUUAAUCGGAUUUACUGGGCGUAAAGCGUGCGUAGGCGGCUUCUUAAGUCGGAUGUGAAAUCCCUGAGCUUAACUUAGGAAUUGCAUUCGAUACUGGGAAGCUAGAGUAUGGGAGAGGAUGGUAGAAUUCCAGGUGUAGCGGUGAAAUGCGUAGAGAUCUGGAGGAAUACCGAUGGCGAAGGCAGCCAUCUGGCCUAAUACUGACGCUGAGGUACGAAAGCAUGGGGAGCAAACAGGAUUAGAGACCCGAGUAGUCCCUGUCUCUUAUAC